GGGUCAGUAGGUUGGUCGUGCCACCGGUACGUACUGGUCUCACUGAUUCCUCCUUCCUGAAGAACCGUAAUGCCAUUAAUUUGGUGUUGCGGGGAAACAGGACUGUUACUUUGAAAAAAUUAGAGUGUUUAAGGCAGGCUAACGCUUGAAUACAUUAGCAUGGAAUAAUGAAAUAGGGCGAUCGAUCCUAUUUUGUUGGUUUCUAGGAUUGACGUA
rnacentral:rRNA from 1 species